UACGUCGGGUGCAAGCGUUACUCGGAAUUACUGGGCGUAAAGCGUGCGCAGGCGGUUUUGUAAGUCUGUCGUGAAAUCCCCGGGCUUAACCUGGGAAUGGCGAUGGAGACUGCAAGGCUAGAAUCUGGCAGAGGGGGGUAGAAUUCCACGUGUAGCGGUGAAAUGCGUAGAGAUGUGGAGGAACACCGAUGGCGAAGGCAGCCCCCUGGGUCAAGAUUGACGCUCAUGCACGAAAGCGUGGGGAGCAAACAGG
rnacentral:rRNA from 1 species